ensembl:snRNA U6 U6 spliceosomal RNA
GUGUUCACUUCAGCAGCACAUAUACUAAAAUUGGAAUGAUACAGAGAAGAUUAGUAUGGCCCCUGGGUAGCAAUAACAUGCAAAUUAAUGAAGCAUUUCAUAUUAGG